GAGGAAUUGGCGGCGUGCCUAAUACUCGCAGUCGAGCGAUGGAUUAAGAGCUUGCUCUUAUGAAGUUAGCGGCGGACGGGUGAGUAACACGUGGGUAACCUGCCCAUAAGACUGGGAUAACUCCGGGAAACCGGGGCUAAUACCGGAUAACAUUUUGAACCGCAUGGUUCGAAAUUGAAAGGCGGCUUCGGCUGUCACUUAUGGAUGGACCCGCGUCGCAUUAGCUAGUUGGUGAGGUAACGGCUCACCAAGGCAACGAUGCGUAGCCGACCUGAGAGGGUGAUCGGCCACACUGGGACUGAGACACGGCCCAGACUCCUACGGGAGGCAGCAGUAGGGAAUCUUCCGCAAUGGACGAAAGUCUGACGGAGCAACGCCGCGUGAGUGAUGAAGGCUUUCGGGUCGUAAAACUCUGUUGUUAGGGAAGAACAAGUGCUAGUUGAAUAAGCUGGCACCUUGACGGUACCUAACCAGAAAGCCACGGCUAACUACGUGCCAGCGCCGCGGUAAUACGUAGGUGGCAAGCGUUAUCCGGAAUUAUUGGGCGUAAAGCGCGCGCAGGUGGUUUCUUAAGUCUGAUGUGAAAGCCCACGGCUCAACCGUGGAGGGUCAUUGGAAACUGGGAGACUUGAGUGCAGAAGAGGAAAGUGGAAUUCCAUGUGUAGCGGUGAAAUGCGUAGAGAUAUGGAGGAACACCAGUGGCGAAAGCGACUUUCUGGUCUGUAACUGACACUGAGGCGCGAAAGCGUGGGGAGCAAACAUGGAUUAGAUACCCUGGUAGUCCACGCCGUAAACGAUGAGUGCUAAGUGUUAGAGGGUUUCCGCCCUUUAGUGCUGAAGUUAACGCAUUAAGCACUCCGCCUGGGGAGUACGGCCGCAUGCUGAACGAAAUGGAAAUUUGGCGGAAUUGCUCCCCCGGGGCCAUAAUCACUUAGUUAAGGUGCC
rnacentral:rRNA from 1 species